rnacentral:rRNA from 1 species
UCGAACCUUAAUCCGAAAAGGAAUAACUUGUGAACGCGUAAUCACACAUGCGGKGCGUGGGGACUUUAACCGGUUGUCACGCUCGCCUCGUCCGUAGGGUCAUGUGCAAUCAAAUGAGUGCUCACUCAUUAGGCUGUACGUGGUUCUGUCGGAAAUUCACAAAACCCCGGCGCARAAAGCGUCAAGGACCAUUCAACGAAACAGCUCACCCUGAAUUCAYCCUUUUAGGUUCGUAUUCGCUGUGUGUGGCUGCGAUCAUAAGUCUAAAACGACUCUCGGCAACGGAUAUCUCGGCUCUCGCAUCGAUGAAGAACGUAGCAAAAUGCGAUACUUGGUGUGAAUUGCAGAAUCCCGUGAACCAUCGAGUUUUUGAACGCAAGUUGCGCCMUAAGCCGUCAGGCAGAGGGCACGCUUGCCUGGGUGUCACGCAUCGUCAUCUCCCCCACUCGUMUAAGCUUCGCUUGGGUGAUUACGRARAAGRAGAUUGGUCUCCCGUGUGUUACCGCACGCGGUUGGCCUAAAAUCRAMAMAAGGGGGCGCGAAGCACCUGAUGAGCGGUGGUGUGUAGAUGCCUCGUGCGAAUGUCAGUUGCUUUCGUCCCGAUUGAGUCUAUGACCCUUUAAGUGUCGUUUGCGCGAUUCUUUGAACGCGACCCCAGGUCAAGGGGA